ensembl:lincRNA
CUCAACACGCAGGCGCUGACAUAAGGAAGAGAGCCCUGGUCACGUCCUGGGAGAAAGAGAUCUUUGAAACAGGUAUGUCCUCUCCAACGGUGCCGUCUGUGCAGCACCUGCUCUCCCACCUGGGACCUGGAAUAAUGGAUGAGUUCCUCUCCCUUUCUAGCACAUCUUUGCUAAACUUUGAGUGGUGCGUACCUACCUGGCGGCCUGAAACACAAGGGUGUGGGCAGAGAUGGCCCGACUCUGGCCCUUUCUUAUUUUUCAUGUUUUAUUUUCUCUUUUCCUCCUUUUUAGUCAAUGUUACCUUUCUCAAAAUUCACGAUCUCGUGGUUAGUAAUUCCCAAGAGGAAGGGAAACACUCUCCAUUGAGGACUUCCCAGCAGUUCCUCCACAUACCCCCAGGAUCCCAUAAUCCCGGAGCUACCCGUUCUUCUUGCCCGUGAGAAUGCAGAUAUCCGGUGGCUCUGCAAAGGGUCUUGUUGCUUGGUAGAGACGGUGCUGCCUGCUGGCUCCUUGUCCCUCUGACAGAACACCUUGGACAGCUGUGGAAGACUUGGCACCAGUGGACACAACUGCACACAGAUCAGAAUCUGAGUGUAUGCUGGAGGUGGCCUGCUUCAUCCUACCACUCAGCGCAAGUCAGGGACCUCGGGAGAAAGUCGGGGUCUGUGGUGGGAGGAAAAAGUUCUACAGCUGUGGGAAGGGUUCACUAGCCUGGAGGCAUGAGAUUGGGCUUCCCUGCAGCCCCAGGGCCUGGGUGAAUCUGAUCUUGGCUACAGAUGGCUGGGGCUGUGCCCUGCUGAAGAAUGAGUCCAGCAAAAAGAUUAACAGCGUAGUUUUAACAGCAAAGAAAAUCCUCAAUCUAGCAGAAAGGGCACAGGUCUAGGAGUCAGGAGAUUCCAGCCCAGCCCAGGCCUGAUCUUCAGGGACUCUGGAGUCUUGAGCAAACCCCCUCAGGGUCUCUGGGCCCCAUUUUGCGCUUUCAAUGGGAGUAGAAGAUUGCUCCAUCCAGAGCAUAAGGCAGUCACAUACCGUAAUGGUCAAUUUGAAUUGUCAACGUGAUUGGAUCAAGAGAUGCGGAAGAUUAAGAGGCUUCUGGGUAUGACCGAGAGGGUGUGUCUAGGAAUGAUUGGCAUAAGGGAUAACAAACUGAAGUGGAGACUCUCCCGAAGCUUGUGCAUUGCCAUCCAAUAGGAUGGUGGCUCAAAUGAGAUAAAAGUUGGAAGAACAAGGAAGUAGAUGCAAGCUUGGCUCUUCUUGAAGGGGUUCUUGAUUGCUCCUGUGAUCACCUGAGAACACCAGACUCACGCUCCUUCAUUUUUCCAAAGCAGACUCCGACAGUGAUUUCCUAGGGAGUUCCCAGGGCUUUGGUCUUGGCCUGGAGUAGCACCAUGGAUCCCUCUUUCUCUGAGGUUUCAGCCUCUUGGACUGCACGGCUACUGUUUCCUAUAGCUCUCCUGCCUACAGACAGCCAUUGUGGGCUAUCCAGGUUCUGGUCGAGUAAGCCAAUCUAAUAAAUCCUCUUUUUAUUAACAUACUUCCUGUUGAUUCUGUUCCUUUAUAGAGCCCUAAUAACAUGUAUAAAAUGGGCUGCCCCAAAUUUGCCUGCUGCUCUCUGGGAAGAACUAAUAACUGAUUUCUCUAUGUCUGGGCAGAAGUGCCUGCAGCAACACAGAUGUUCCUUGACUUAGGAUGGGGUUAGGUCCCAGUAAACCCAUCAUCAGUGGAAAUAUC